CCUUGAGCUAUGGCUCCUGAAACAGAUGAAGGUCUCCAUCUUGUCGGUGCUGGGGCAGUUUACACACAUUUAAUCUAUGAAAGUCCUGUGUAUACAUCCUACCAUGAAGUUUCCUUUUUUGUUCCUGCCUCAGUAUGAAACCUACAGGCUUUCUUUCUGCAUCAGAUAAAACAAUAAGCUUACUCUUCAGCAUGUUCUGGAGUCCUCAUCCUCCAGCUGUCCUAACUGGGAGUCAUCUGAACUGCAAAACAAAGAGGGAGACUGAUUCACACUUGUGUCUUCUACAGGCAAUGUUCUCAACAUGUCUUUCAAGCACUGAGAUUCGUAAAAGACCUGCCAGCCUCAAACAACACCCUCUUUCUUCACAUUAGAAAUGGAAACACGUCCUCUGCAGGAAUUUUCCACUUAAUAGCUCCUGCUUUCCUACCGGGGGCCUCAGUGCACCACCACUGCAAUGCUGUAUUUCUUUCCACUGCAGUUUGACAUUUUGCAGCCAGAACAACGAGCGGCAUUCACUCCAUCCUGAUUUUUGAAAAACAUAUCUCUAUAGGCACACAGAACGCACCCAGUGCAGCAAUCACCAGGGAGAAAUGGCAAAGGUAUUUAAACGUCGUUACAUGGCACUAAGGAUAUGACAUUUUGUAGUAAUAAUGAUCUUUUAUGCAGUUGCUUUUCCUUACUCCCCCCCUCCAACCCUUAUACAUAAACACGCAAACAUCAAAGCCUCUACCCUGCUCUCCCAUUACCAGGCAGUCUCAUGUUCUACACUUGAUUGUAAUUGUUUGCCUUUGUGAAUUAUUUCCUUUGCGUAAUAUUUGCAAACUGUAUAUGAGGUCCUGACACUGUGAGGAGCAGAAAUGCAGAUUGCAGAUAAUCUGAGCAGUAAACACGGAGCCUGCUUUAAAAUGCGCGGAGUGACCUGUCUGAAAGCAGCAAUAUUUGCGAACUGUUUACUGCUGAGAUGCAAUGAUGUUGUCUGAAAUGCAGCAGCCUGAAGAUUGGAGCAAAAUGGGAUCUCAGACACUUGGUCAAGCACAACCUGUGAUUUUUUUUAUUUGUUGUUUGGGUUGUGCUUUUUUAAAGUUAGAGCUGUAUUAUCAAUUAUUAAAAGCUAAUUUCCAAAAAUCCA